UUCUUUACGACAGCAUAUGGAAGAGGGCGCCGUGUCAACGGCCUCAUUCCAUUCGGAACUGAAAUAGCGCGUAUCUUCAGCGCAAACGAGAAGGUAAAAAAGAAUCUGCUACCUCCCCAAUUGCAAGAAGCAUUUCAAGCAACUGGGCUGAUGAUGUAAACCAAUUUACUACGACCACCUUGUGCCAUUUAUGUAACCAUUUCAGUUAUUACUC